AGAAACUUAGGUUAUACUACAAACCAAGAGCCUUCAAAGCCCUAAAUAGAGAACGCCACCCCUCUAGUUUCUG